CGAACCAGGCCCAACGUAAAAUUGGGCCUGGAAGGGAUUGCAUGCGCAUGCAUCAAAAUUCCCAGAAAACUUGGGAAUUUGGAUACUGUUUGUAAAUGUACUAUAGGUCCGUAUAAAAAGUGCUUAGUAGACAAAAAAUAUAAUGGCAGUUUCGAGUCCACCAUCGUUCGAAGAUUUAGUUACUUACGCCCUUGAGUCCUUAGAUAGAGUUACAUUCAAGUUAAGAUCUCAACAGUUAGAAAGCAUUAAGUAUGUAGUGGAAGGUAAUGAUGUGUUUGUGUGGCUGCCUACUGGUUUUGGAAAAUCGAUUAUUUAUGAGAGCUUGCCCUUUGUGUUUGACCGGCUAAAGAAUGUUUCUAAUAGUGUGGUGUUGGUAGUUUCUCCCCUGAUUUUUCGCUAAUGUUGGACCAAACGAAGAGUCUGGCAAAGAGAGGAGUGUGUUGUGCCAUAAUGAGUGAUCGCAGUGUUGUCGAUAAGAGCUUCCUCUUCUCUGAGAAGGACAUUGAUAAAUAUAAAUAGUAUUUACUUCUCCUGAAGCUGUCAUUGGAGUUGAAAGAUGGAGAAGUCUAUUGAGUACACCUACAUUUUCUGACCGUAUAUAGUGACCGUUGCAGUGGAUGAAGCACACUGUGUGUCAAAAUGGAGUUCGACAUUUCGACCUUCAUACGCUCGUCUCAAUGACAUCAGAGCCUUAAUCCCUCCUGGUGUCCCUAUGGUUGCCCUUACUGCUACUGCUACUAGGUCAGUCAAGGCUGAUGUUAUAGCAAAGUUGGAACUUGGUGGAUGCAAGGAAGUGUCAGUUUCUCCAAAUCGUGAUAACAUAUAUUAUAAAGUAAGAAGGAGCAACACUAUUGAGUCUGAUUUUGCCUCCAUUGUCUCAUUACAAAAAACUGCCAAAAUCAAAGCAACUCGAACUAUUGUAUAUUGCCGUACAAAGAACGUGUGUGCUGAUUUAUACCAGUAUUUUCAUAGAACACUUGGAGACGAUAGUUAUUACCCCCCUGAUGCUCCCAAAAUUAGUAUGAAUCGACUGUUUGGUAUGUUCCAUGCUCAAACUACUGAUCACAUCAAGGAUCAUAUAAUAUCAAGUAUGUCGCAAGCUUGUGGUACUGUUCGAGUUGUAUUUGCCACUGUUGCUUUAGGCAUGGGAGUGAACUUUGUGAACUUGAACCAUAUUGUACACUAUGGAGCACCAAGUAGUAUUGACGAUUACUUUCAAGAAAGUGGCCGCUCAGGACGUUCAGGUGAUCAUGCUACAUCUGUUAUCUACUGGAAGCCAAUAGAUGCUCCUUCGAGAAAGGACUUGAGUAAUCCUCGCCAUGUUGAGACAUUGGCUGUUCGAUCCUAUCUCGAAAAUGACAAGGAAUGCAGGCGUUCUCAACUUGUCGGUUACUUUGGUAUGAGCUCAACCCCAAAAUCUGUAGACCUGCUACUCUGUUGCAAUGUGUGUGCGCAAUUAAUUCUAGUUCUAGCACAAGAUUGACCCUGUAGGAUUUGAUGUUGAAUGGUGAAGACAUUGUGAACAGUUGGUGUGUUGAAUUGUUAAUAGAAAAUUUAAUGUGAGAGUCGUCUUUUUUUUUGAGUUUCUGUGGUCGGUGUGAGUCGAAAUUACCAAGAGCAUCUGAAGAAGGGUUGGAGCAUGUAACUCGAGCUCUCGGAUGCACUUUCUCCAAGAAAAUGCUGAUAUGGCA